AGUGAACGCUGGCGGUAGGCCUAACACAUGCAAGUCGAACGGCAGCACAGUAAGAGCUUGCUCUUACGGGUGGCGAGUGGCGGACGGGUGAGGAAUACAUCGGAAUCUACUUUUUCGUGGGGGAUAACGUAGGGAAACUUACGCUAAUACCGCAUACGGCCUACGGGUGAAAGCAGGGGAUCUUCGGACCUUGCGCGAUUGAAUGAGCCGAUGUCGGAUUAGCUAGUUGGCGGGGUAAAGGCCCACCAAGGCGACGAUCCGUAGCUGGUCUGAGAGGAUGAUCAGCCACACUGGAACGGAGACACGGUCCAGACUCCUACGGGAGGCAGCAGUGGGGAAUAUUGGACAAUGGGCGCAAGCCUGAUCCAGCCAGACCGCGUGGGUGAAGAAGGCCUUCGGGUUGUAAAGCCCUUUUGUUGGGAAAGAAAAGCAGCAGGUUAAUACCCCGCUGUUCUGACGGUACCCAAAGAAUAAGCACCGGCUAACUUCGUG
rnacentral:rRNA from 1 species